CCUANGGGAGGCUGCAGUGGGGAAUAUUGCACAAUGGGGGGAACCCUGAUGCAGCGACGCCGCGUGAAGGAAGAAGGCCUUCGGGUUGUAAACUUCUUUGACCGGGGACGAGAAGAAGACGGUACCCGGGAAACAAGCCACGGCUAACUACGUGCCAGCAGCCGCGGUAAUACGUAGGUGGCGAGCGUUGUCCGGAAUUACUGGGUGUAAAGGGCGUGCAGGCGGCCCAUCAAGUCAGGCGUGAAAGGCGGGGGCUCAACCCUCGGACUGCGCCUGAAACUGUUGGGCUUGAGUGCUGGAGAGGGAAGCGGAAUUCCCAGUGUAGCGGUGAAAUGCGUAGAUAUUGGGAGGAACACCAGUGGCGAAGGCGGCUUUCUGGACAGCAACUGACGCUGAGGCGCGAAAGCGUGGGGAGCAAACAGGAUUAGAUACCCGUNUANUC
rnacentral:rRNA from 1 species